GGACGAACGCUGGCGGCGUGCCUAAUACAUGCAAGUCGUACGCUUCUUUUUCCACCGGAGCUUGCUCCACCGGAAAAAGAAGAGUGGCGAACGGGUGAGUAACACGUGGGUAACCUGCCCAUCAGAAGGGGACAACACUUGGAAACAGGUGCUAAUACCGUAUAACAAUCGAAACCGCAUGGUUUUGAUUUGAAAGGCGCUUUCGGGUGUCGCUGAUGGAUGGACCCGCGGUGCAUUAGCUAGUUGGUGAGGUAACGGCUCACCAAGGCUACGAUGCAUAGCCGACCUGAGAGGGUGAUCGGCCACAUUGGGACUGAGACACGGCCCAAACUCCUACGGGAGGCAGCAGUAGGGAAUCUUCGGCAAUGGACGAAAGUCUGACCGAGCAACGCCGCGUGAGUGAAGAAGGUUUUCGGAUCGUAAAACUCUGUUGUUAGAGAAGAACAAGGAUGAGAGUAACUGUUCAUCCCUUGACGGUAUCUAACCAGAAAGCCACGGCUAACUACGUGCCAGCAGCCGCGGUAAUACGUAGGUGGCAAGCGUUGUCCGGAUUUAUUGGGCGUAAAGCGAGCGCAGGCGGUUUCUUAAGUCUGAUGUGAAAGCCCCCGGCUCAACCGGGGAGGGUCAUUGGAAACUGGGAGACUUGAGUGCAGAAGAGGAGAGUGGAAUUCCAUGUGUAGCGGUGAAAUGCGUAGAUAUAUGGAGGAACACCAGUGGCGAAGGCGGCUCUCUGGUCUGUAACUGACGCUGAGGCUCGAAAGCGUGGGGAGCAAACAGGAUUAGAUACCCUGGUAGUCCACGCCGUAAACGAUGAGUGCUAAGUGUUGGAGGGUUUCCGCCCUUCAGUGCUGCAGCUAACGCAUUAAGCACUCCGCCUGGGGAGUACGACCGCAAGGUUGAAACUCAAAGGAAUUGACGGGGGCCCGCACAAGCGGUGGAGCAUGUGGUUUAAUUCGAAGCAACGCGAAGAACCUUACCAGGUCUUGACAUCCUUUGACCACUCUAGAGAUAGAGCUUCCCCUUCGGGGGCAAGGUGACAGGUGGUGCAUGGUUGUCGUCAGCUCGUGUCGUGAGAUGUUGGGUUAAGUCCCGCAACGAGCGCAACCCUUAUUGUUAGUUGCCAUCAUUUAGUUGGGCACUCUAGCAAGACUGCCGGUGACAAACCGGAGGAAGGUGGGGAUGACGUCAAAUCAUCAUGCCCCUUAUGACCUGGGCUACACACGUGCCACAAUGGGAAGUACAACGAGUCGCGAAGUCGCGAGGCUAAGCUAAUCUCUUAAAGCUUCUCUCAGUUCGGAUUGUAGGCUGCAACUCGCCUACAUGAAGCCGGAAUCGCUAGUAAUCGCGGAUCAGCACGCCGCGGUGAAUACGUUCCCGGGCCUUGUACACACCGCCCGUCACACCACGAGAGUUUGUAACACCCGAAGUCGGUGAGGUAACCUUUUGGAGCCAGCCGCCUAAGGUGG
rnacentral:rRNA from 1 species